AACGAACGCUGGCGGCAUGCCUAACACAUGCAAGUCGAACGAGACCUUCGGGUCUAGUGGCGCACGGGUGCGUAACGCGUGGGAACCUGCCCUUAGGUUCGGAAUAACUCCCCGACAGGGGUGCUAAUACCGGAUAAUGUCUUCGGACCAAAGAUUUAUCGCCUUUGGAUGGGCCCGCGUUGGAUUAGCUAGUUGGUAGGGUAAAAGCCUACCAAGGCGACGAUCCAUAGCUGGUCUGAGAGGAUGAUCAGCCACACUGGGACUGAGACACGGCCCAGAAUCCUACGGGAGGCAGCAGUGGGGAAUAUUGGAAAAUGGGCGAAAGGCUGAUCCAGCAAUGCCGCGUGAGUGAUGAAGGCAUUAGGGUUGUAAAGCUCUUUUACCCGGGAUGAUAAUGACAGUACCGGGAGAAUAAGCUCCGGCUAACUCCGUG
rnacentral:rRNA from 1 species